UGCAACUUGCGGUUUUCAAGAGGAAAUCCAUGCAUUUAUGCAGAAAAUAUAACCGAAACAAAAAUCCCCGGGUGCAAAACGUACCUACACGUUUGGUCGACGUAUUUUUUCCGAAAUCUACUUGAAAAUGUUGAUUCACCACCAGCUCGCGCACGAUUUUCCAAAUUUUCCUGAUGACUAACGGCCUUCGUUAAUGUUUGUUUAAAUCGCGUUCAGGUAAUUUACAUAGUUGAGACAGCGACGCAUAUUUUGGUUGUAGGCCAAUAAAUUGCUAGUGUCGCCUUAUUAAAAUAGGUCGAAAAGUAUAUAAUUGGCCCAAACAGUACACUAAGUGUUCAGCCGUGUAUAUAAGCGGGUUAAGAGGUUCUUGCUUGCGCAUCCCAUACAAACAAAAUGCUUAGAUUAAAAUACGAUCCAGUCUUUGGAAGAGCAUAUUCUUACUUAGACGAAUUGCGGUACAAUCCGGAUUUUAUCACCCGGAGGCCGAUCGAGUUUUACUUCAAUUGGCCCUGGAAAUAUCGAUACUGGUUUACUAAUCAGAGAUUCCGCAGGAAUUUGUACAAAGAACUUCGUUUAAGAGAACUGACUUACCUGAUGUAAAUGGUAAACGCGAACUGAGCCUAAAAUUCAGCCAACAUGCUGCUUGUAAAUAAUUUGAUUUUUAUUUUAAUUUUAUAUUGUAUUUUGUAAGCAAUCAAUAGAGGCGCUUUUUCGCAAGU
rnacentral:lncRNA from 1 species